rnacentral:rRNA from 1 species
UACGUAGGGGCGAGCGUUGUCCGGAGUUACUGGGCGUAAAGCGCACGCAGGCGGUCUGCUAAGUUUGGAGUGACAGUUGGUGGCUUAACUGCCAAAGUGCUUCGAAAACUGACAGACUUGAGGGCUUCAGAGGGACACGGAAUUCCGGGUGUAGCGGUGGAAUGCGUAGAGAUCCGGAAGAACACCGGUGGCGAAGGCGGUUGGCUGGGCCACACCUGACACUUAGGCGCGACAGCGUGGGGAGCAAACAGG